CUGCAACUCGACUACAUGAAGCUGGAAUCGCUAGUAAUCGCGAAUCAGAAUGUCGCGGUGAAUACGUUCCCGGGUCCUUGUACACACCGCCCGUCACACCAUGGGAGUUGGGAAUGCCCGAAGCCGGUGACCUAACCGAAAGGGAGGAGCCGUCGAAGGCAGGCUUGAUAACUGGGGUGAAGUCGUAACAAGGUACC
rnacentral:rRNA from 1 species